rnacentral:rRNA from 1 species
GACAGAGGUGCCAAGCGUUAGGCGGAAUCACUGGGCUUAAAGCGUGUGUAGGCGGAACGUUAAGUGCCUUGUGAAAUCCCACGGCUCAACCGUGGAACUGCUGGGCAUACUGGCGUGCUUGAGCCAGCCAGGGGUCGUCGGAACAAACGGUGGAGCGGUGAAAUGCGUAGAUAUCGUUUGGAACGCCAAAGGCGAAAGCAGACGACUGGGGCUGAGCUGACGCUGAGACACGAAAGCCAGGGGAGCAAACGGG